rnacentral:rRNA from 1 species
AGAGUUUGAUCAUGGCUCAGAACGAACGGCUUGGCGGCAGGCCUAACACAUGCAAGUCGAGCGGGGGAGCAAUCCCUAGCGGCGGACGGGUUAGUAACGCGUGGGAACAUACCCUUUGGUACGGAAUAGCCUCGGGAAACUGAGAGUAAUACCGUAUGUGCCCUUCGGGGGAAAGAUUUAUCGCCAAAGGAUUGGCCCGCGUUGGAUUAGGUAGUUGGUGGGGUAAUGGCCUACCAAGCCUACGAUCCAUAGCUGGUUUGAGAGGAUGAUCAGCAACACUGGGACUGAGACACGGCCCAGACUCCUACGGGAGGCAGCAGUGGGGAAUCUUAGACAAUGGGCGCAAGCCUGAUCUAGCCAUGCCGCGUGAGCGACGAAGGCCUUAGGGUUGUAAAGCUCUUUCAGAUGGGAAGAUAAUGACGGUACCAUCAGAAGAAGCCCCGGCUAACUCCGUG